AGUUAGAAUUGGCCCUGGGUCUCCUCCUGCACUUUGCAAUCUGGGUUGUUUGUGGCCACUGGAGCAUCCGUGAAUUUGACAGCCCCUUCCCAGAACCAGUAGCCGUAAGCUAGAGCAGAGUCAAUCCUUUUCUUCCAGGGAUA